rnacentral:rRNA from 1 species
GAUGAACGCUGGCGGCGUGCUUAACACAUGCAAGUCGAACGAGAAGUGAAGACGGAAACCCUCGGGCGGAAGGCUUUAUUUCGAGUGGCGGACGGGUGAGUAACGCGUGGGUAACCUGCCUCAUACAGGGGGAUAACAGUUGGAAACGACUGUUAAUACCGCAUAAGACCACAGCACCGCAUGGUGCGGGUGUAAAAACUCCGGUGGUAUGAGAGGGACCCGCGUUCGAUUAGCCAGUUGGCGUGGUAACGGCCCACCAAAGCGACGAUCGAUAGCCGAUCUGAGAGGAUGGCCGGCCACAUUUGGACUGAGACACGGCCCAGACUCCUACGGGAGGCAGGAGUGGGGAAUAUUGCACAAUGGGGGAAACGCUGAUGCAGCGACGCCGGGUGAGUGAAGAAGUAUUGCGGUAUGUAAAGCGCUAGCAGCAGGGAAGAAAAUGACGGUACCUGAGGAAGAAGCCCCGGCUAACUACGUG